rnacentral:rRNA from 1 species
UACGUAGGGGGCAAGCGUUGUCCGGAAUCAUUGGGCGUAAAGAGCGCGUAGGCGGCCCGAUAAGUCCGCUGUGAAAGUCAAGGGCUUAACCCUUGAAUGCCGGUGGAAACUGUCGGGCUAGAGUCCGGAAGAGGCGAGUGGAAUUCCUGGUGUAGCGGUGAAAUGCGCAGAUAUCAGGAGGAACACCAAUGGCGAAGGCAGCUCGCUGGGACGGUACUGACGCUGAGGCGCGAAAGCUAGGGGAGCAAACGGG